AUACGGAGGGUGCGAGCGUUAAUCGGAAUUACUGGGCGUAAAGCGUACGUAGGCGGUUGGUUAAGUUAGAUGUGAAAGCCCCGGGCUUAACCUGGGAACUGCAUUUAAAACUGACGAACUAGAGUUGAGUAGAGGGGAGUGGAAUUUCAGGUGUAGCGGUGAAAUGCGUAGAGAUCUGAAGGAACACCAGUGGCGAAGGCGACUCCCUGGACUUGAACUGACGCUGAGGUACGAAAGCGUGGGUAGCAAACGGGAUUAGAAACCCUAGUAGUCC
rnacentral:rRNA from 1 species